AUGUUGUUCAUAGAAGAGAAGAUGCUCUUCUGGGUGUGCCAAGGUUUGGGUUUAAAUAUGGAGGAUUUCCUAAUCUUUGUAGCAGCACGAGUCAUGGGUUCGCGUCGUUCAACACUAGUUUUAAUGAUUCUCCACCAAAAGCGGGAGUAAGGAAAACGACUACAUCUACACGAUUUCUAAAUGGAAAAAGAUAGAGGAGAAAAAAAUUAUAGAUAAUGGAAUCGAGACAGUGACAGUGUAUGAAGACGGAGUUGUAAAGUCCAAAACUGUUAAUGGAGAACCUCAAACAGUCCAAUAGUCCAAGUAAUGCUCGACAUCAUUCGAGAAUUUUGGAAUCACUUCAUCCAUGCAUCCAUUAUAAUUUUCAUUGGUAUUUGUACAUUAAGGCAUUUCAUACUGAGUGUUAUUAUGAAAUCUGUGGGAUGGUUUAAGUGUUCCUGUUUCUAUAUGUAACACCAUUUGACACCAAACUAACAGAAAAUUUAGCUUCUAUGUCAUAUUUUUAGGUGGUGAGGCUGAGAUUAUAGAUUGUUAUGGGUACUCAAGCAUUUCUAUAAUGUUCAAUUUUGUGUCAGAUCAUAAAGAAUAUUUAAUAAUAUUGAAAUUAGUUUUUGUUUAUCCUGUCUAAGAGAACAAGAGGUGUUUAGAGUUGGCACAACCUGUUAACUGUGUGUCUGCUCAUAUGUCUGUCCCAGUUGGUUUUAGUGAAAAGUUUUAUGUUGUGAUGGUGAACCACUAAGGUUUCUAAAACUCUAAAAAAUGGGAAACUUGCACAUCAGAAGGAUAUGUAUGUGUGUGUGUAUAAUGAUGUGUGAAACUACUUAGCUACUGUUGUACCCAACACAGUUGGCAUGUUGUGUAAACACAUUUAAAGGAAAAGUUUUAUUUAGUUUCAUUUCAAAAUUGUAUAUAUUGAUAUUUAGGAUCUGUGGGAUCGAGUUUUUUAGUAUUUCCUGCAUUAAUUUUGUUAUGGUUUAUUUUCCUAUGUCCUGCUAAUAAGUUGAUAGGACAUUUUGGAUGUGUUUAGUGUAAAUUGUUGGCUCAUAUAUUGUGUUCUGAAGAACAGGUUCUUGUAAGUAGUUUUAAGUUUCAUGAAUUCUGCCUGAAAUUAACCAGAUUCAAAUGAUUUUUUACUAAGCAUGAAGAUACUGUGAGUGUAAUAAAAUGUAUUGCUUUGUUAAUAUAAUGUACGGUUUUGUUUUGGCAUUCACUUACUCUUAGGCAAAACAAAAAUAUUUGUUUUUUUUAUUCUUAAAGCUUUGCUCACAUUAAUAAAAGGAAUCAAUUUAAAGAGUGCCAUAUCUGUUAUGCUCACAUUUUCUAAGUCUUAGUCAUGCACAUUAUAAACAUGGAGUUAACUAGAAAUAUUUAUUAUCCUCCAUUUAAAAUAUAAAGUUGGAGGUUAACUAGAAAAAGGGUAUUAUUCACUAUUCAAAGAAUAAACAUGGAGGUUAGCUAAAAAUGUGUACUAUCCUCCAUUCAAAGUAUAAACAUGGAGGUUAGCUAAAAAUGGGUAUUAUUCUCCAUUUAAAAUAUAAAGUUGGAGUUGGAGGUUAACUAAAAAUGUGUACUAUCCUCCAUUCAAAGUAUAAACAUGGAGGUUAACUAGAAAAAGGGUAUUAUUCACUAUUCAAAGAAUAAACAUGGAGGUUAACUAGAAAAAGGGUAUUAUUCACUAUUCAAAGAAUAAACAUGGAAGUUAACUAGAAAUGGGUAUUAUCCACCACUCAGAGUAUAAACAUGGAGGUUAACAAGAAAUGGGUAUUAUUGACCAUUCAAGAAAGAUGCCUACUGGCUACCUGUAUCAUGAAAAAUAGUUGUGUUUAUCACAAUAUGAAAUUUAGAGAAUCUAAUCCUAAAUGGAUUUGAUAUAGAAAAAUGGAAUACUAAAAUAUUACAUAUAUUGAAGGUAUGUCAACUAACCUGUCGGGUAUAAACGACACAGAAAUAUACUUAAAUUAUCUAUUGUUAUUGUUUAAAGACAAUAAGAGAUAUAAGCACCAAAUCACAGUUUAGAAAUCAAUCUGUACGUAAUGUGUAUAGUUUUAUGUGUAGAAGAAGAGUUUAGAGUUGAAAUUAAUUCUUUAUCUAGCUAUUUCUCAUAACUUUGGAAAUGCAUUUGUUGUUUUUUAUCAUUUUAAUCAUGUGUUUACUGAUAAGUUAUAAGAUUUUACCUUGUACGUGAGAAACAUUCUUUCUGUAUUAGAAAGUAGGCUACUGAACAACUUCCUACUUCCUGCAUUUUAAAAGAAACUAAUUAGAUUUUUAUUGUCAACUGUGUUUAGGUCAUGAUUUUGUAAAUAGCAGCUUGAAAUACAUUCUUGUGAUAUAUCCUGAAGUGGCUUUUUAACUUGAAAGAUCAAACUUUAACAUAGCUUAAAUAAAUAUUUAAAAAAGUAAAUUAUCUACAAUUAAUUUGAAUACAGUGAUAACAUCUAAUUCAAAUUAUUGUAUUUAAAUAGAAUUGUUUUAUAAAUGCUUUUUCUUUACCAAACCAACUAUUUCAAGGCAAUUAAUUAAGAAAUUCAUGUGAUAUGAAUGGAAUUAUAUAUAUAUAAGUUAUUUCAACAUAUUGGAAUAAAAACACUGUAAAGACAUGGUUAAUAAUAUGUUCUUUCACCAAGCUAUAUCAUAAUAAGUAUGAUAUCUUUCUUACUGAUUGUUCUGUAGUUUGAUGAUAUCAGGAAUGUUGAAGUUGACUCUGAUAUUUCUGUAUUAGUGUACCCAAAAAAUGUUCUUAUGAUUUGUUGGGCUAUUAAGUUGAAAUUGUUUUUGACAUUAAAGUUUUUUCUAGUGAACUAAUGAUGAGAAUAUUUUUUCUGAUAAUUUGUGAAACAUUAAUUGUACCUCUCUUGUUUGAUAUCGAGUGUUUUGUAUUUAUUGACUUGCUUUUAGAUAACCUGGUUACAUUCUGUGCUUCUUCAACAUUUAUUGAUUAAGCCCUAGUUUCAUUUACUACAAUUUAAUAAUGCUGAAAGUGGUUGCAAAGUAGAUGAUUGUUUUUCAAAUUCUUUUUAGUUGUGUUUACACUGCUUACCUUGUGACAGGGAUGUUUGUACAUGUAAUCUUAAAACAAUAUAAUAUAAGCAAUGUAUUCGUUAGAAAGACAUUCUUCAUGUUAUUUUAAACUUAAACAUAUAGUUACAUAGGUAAAGAAAAAAUGAGGAUCCAGUUUUGCAAGAUUUUAUUUUCGUAAUAGGGUGAAUAUUUUUUGAAAGAUUAGGAAUAUCCAACUUCUAAAUAUUAAACCAUCUUUUCGUCCUUUUUCAUUAGCUAAGUUAAUAUUAUUUCAUAAUAAAAUCAACUCAUUAAAAUUGGCAAACACUGAUCAAUUUUUGAAAAUGUUUUAGUUUAAAAAAAAGAAAUAUUAUUCAUUAGAAAUUUGAUAGAUGAAACUUAUCAUGUAGAAGAUAAUAGGUGACACAUAAUGUUACUUGUAAGCGGUUAACCAUAAUGUCCCCUUGUUACUUACAACAGGUAUAUUCUGUAAGUGGUUAUCCCUAACGACCUCUUGUUACUUACAAUAGACAUCUCUUGUAAGCAGUUAUCCCUAACGAUCUCUUGUUACUUACUACAGGUAUCUUCUGUAAGUGGUUAUCCCCAAUGAUCACUUGUUACUUACAACAGGCAUCUCGUGUAAGUGGCUAUCCCUAACGAUCUCUUGUUACUUACAACAGGCAUCUCCUGUAAGCAGUUAUCCCUAAUGGUCCCUUGUUACAUACAACAGGUAUCUCCUUUAAUAGGUUAUCUCUAAUGAUCUCUUGUUACUUACAAUAGACAUCUCUUGUAAGCAGUUGUCCCUAACGAUCUCUUGUUACUUAUUACAGGUAUCUUCUGUAAGUGGUUAUCCCCAAUGAUCACUUGUUACUUACAACAGGCAUCUCCUGUAAGUGGUUAUCCCUAACGAUCUCUUGUUACUUACUACAGGUAUCUUCUGUAAGUGGUUAUCCCCAGUGAUCACUUGUUACUUACAACAGGCAUCUCCUGUAAGUGGUUAUCCCUAACGAUCUCUUGUUACUUACUACAGGUAUCUCCUGUAAGCAGUUAUCCCCAAUGAUCACUUGUUACUUACAACAGGCAUCUCCUGUAAGUGGUUAUCCCUAAUGAUCUCUUGUUACUUACAACAGGCAUCUUCUGUAAGCGGUUAUCCUUAAUGGUCCCUUGUUACAUACAACAGGUAUCUCUUUUAAUAGGUUAUCUCUAAUGAUCUCUUGUUACUUACAACAGGUAUCUCUUUUAAUAGGUUAUCUCUAAUGAUCUCUUGUUACUUACAACAGGUAUCUCUUUUAAUAGGUUAUCUCUAAUGAUCUCUUGUUACUUACAACAGGCAUCUCCUGUAAGCGGUUAUCCUUAAUGAUCUCUUGUUACUUACAACAGGCAUCUCCUGUAAGCUGUUAUCCUUAAUGAUCUUUUGUUACUUACAACAGGCAUCUCCUGUAAGCAGUUAUCUCUAAUGGUCCCUUGUUACAUACAACAGGUAUCUCCUUUAAUAGGUUAUCUCUAAUGAUCUCUUGUUACUUACAACAGGCUUUUCCUGUAAGCGGUUAUCCUUAACGAUCUCUUGUUACUUACUACAGGUAUCUUCUGUAAGUGGUUAUCCCCAAUGAUCUCUUGUUACUUACAACAGGCAUCUCCUGUAAGCGGUUAUCCCUAAUGACUCCUUGUUACUUACAACAGGUAUCUUCUAUAAGUGGUUAUCCUUAACGAUCUCUUGUUACUUACAACAGGUAUCUUCUAUAAGUGGUUAUAUUUAACAAUCUCUUGUUACUUACAACAGGUAUCUUCUGUAAGUGGUUAUCCCCAAUGAUAUCUUGUUACUUACAACAGGCAUCUCUUGUAAGCGGUUAUCCCUAAUGACCCCUUGUUACUUACAACAGGUAUCUUCUAUAAGUGGUUAUAUUUAACAACAUCUUGUUACUUACAAUUUUACUCUUGGGUAGAAACUAUCACUACGUAGGAAUGUCGUGUUUACCAAGCAAAACAAAUUAACCAUUUACCAUAGUUUCUAAACCUAAUACAUGCAAGUUAAAGAAAAUGAACACCAUGGAACUCAAGGCAGAAUAAGAUUGAAGGCAUAUUUGUAAUCUUUUCAUACAUUUACUUAUAAUGUUUCUUUCUUUUGUUUCGAUUUUAAUAUUUAUGCUGUUUGGUAGCAAGUCUGUUGGUGUUAUAUUUCUUAACAUUAAACUUCAAUCAACCAGUAUUCAGAAAUUUUGUAUAAAACUUAUAAUUAUAUUUAAAUAUGGGUGUAGGACAUAUACUUUCCUCUUGAAAUCUAAUACGUUUUCAUUUAUGUUUAGUCCACAUUUGAAUUGUCGCCUUCAAACUUUAAUUGUACUUGGUAAGAUUGGGGUAAUAUUUUGAGAAAAUCUUACUAGCAAAUAUGAAACAUGAUCUUGCUCAUUUUUAACUUUGGUAAAUAUAGGUAUAUUUUAUGAGCACGUAUAAGUAAUGCUGUGAUUUCGAUAUGUAACUUGUAAUUUUACGUUUUUUCUAAUAAAAGCCUUUUAAGUAAAGGAA